rnacentral:rRNA from 1 species
UAACGAAGGGGGCUAGCGUUGUUCGGAUUUACUGGGCGUAAAGCGCACGUAGGCGGAUUGUUAAGUCAGGGGUGAAAUCCCGGAGCUCAACUCCGGAACUGCCUUUGAUACUGGCAAUCUAGAGUCCGGAAGAGGUGAGUGGAACUCCUAGUGUAGAGGUGGAAUUCGUAGAUAUUAGGAAGAACACCAGUGGCGAAGGCGGCUCACUGGUCCGGUACUGACGCUGAGGUGCGAAAGCGUGGGGGAGCAAACAGG